rnacentral:rRNA from 1 species
UACGGGGGGGCAAGCGUUGUUCGGAAUUACUGGCGUAAAGGGCUCGUAGGCGGCCAACUAAGUCAGACGUGAAAUCCCUCGGCUUAACCGGGGAACUGCAUCUGAUACUGGAUGGCUUGAGUUCGGGAGAGGGAUGCGGAAUUCCAGGUGUAGCGGUGAAAUGCGUAGAUAAUCUGGAGGAACACCGGUGGCGAAGGCGGCAUCCUGGACCGGCACUGACGCUGAGGAGCGAAGCCAGGGGAGCAAACGGG